rnacentral:rRNA from 1 species
AUUGAACGCUGGCGGCAGGCCUAACACAUGCAAGUCGAACGGUAACAGGAUGAAGCUUGCUUCUUUGCUGACGAGUGUCGGGGGGGUGAGUAAUGUCUGGGGAACUGCCUGUUGGAGGGGGGUAACUCCUGGGAACGGUAGCUAUUACAGCAUAACGUCGCAAGGCCAAAGAGGGGGACCUUCUGGCCUCUUGCGCGCGGAUGUGCGCAGAUGGGAUUAGCUAGUAGGUGGGGUAACGGCCCACCUAGGCGACGAUCCCUAGCUGGUCUGAGAGGAUGACCAGCCACACUGGAACUGAGACACGGUCCAGACUCCUACGGGAGGCAGCAGUGGGGAAUAUUGGACAAUGGGCGCAAGCCUGAUGCAGCCAUGCCGCGUGUAUGAAGAAGGCCUUCGGGUUGUAAAGUACUUUUAGCGGGGAGGAAGGGAGGAAAGUUAAUACCCUGGUUCAUUGACGUUACCCGCAGAAGAAGCACCGGCUAACUCCGUG